UGCAGAAUUACACCUCAGAGCUUCCAGUUUCUGUGUCCAGACUAAGAGGCUCCAUUUGACUGAAUAGAAUUAUACAUCAGAGCUUCCUGUUUCUGUGUCCAGACUAAGAAGCUCCGGUUCACUGAAUAAAUUGAAGCAGAGUUCACUCGCCUAACUUCAAAGGACCUCAUGAAGUUGUUUCUGUCAGGUUUGGACCAGUAUACACCCAGAUUUCUUCAGAUGUUUAGAGCAAAGAUGAGCAG